GGGUUGUGAGGUUAAGCGACCAAGCGUACACGGUGGAUGCCCUGGCAGUCAGAGGCGAUGAAGGACGUGCUAAUCUGCGAAAAGCGCCGGUAAGGUGAUAUGAACCGUUAUAACCGGCGAUGUCCGAAUGGGGAAACCCAGUGUGACUCGUCACACUAUCAUUAACUGAAUCCAUAGGUUAAUGAGGCGAACCGGGGGAACUGAAACAUCUAAGUACCCCGAGGAAAAGAAAUCAACCGAGAUUCCCCCAGUAGCGGCGAGCGAACGGGGAGGAGCCCAGAGCCUGAAUCAGCAUGUGUGUUAGUGGAAGCGUCUGGAAAGGCGCGCGAUACAGGGUGAGAGCCCCGUACACAAAAGCGCACAUGCUGUGAGCUCGAUGAGUAGGGCGGGACACGUGGUAUCCUGUCUGAAUAUGGGGGGACCAUCCUCCAAGGCUAAAUACUCCUGACUGACCGAUAGUGAACCAGUACCGUGAGGGAAAGGCGAAAAGAACCCCGGCGAGGGGAGUGAAACAGAACCUGAAACCGUGUACGUACAAGCAGUGGGAGCC
rnacentral:rRNA from 4 species